GACGAACGCUGGCGGCGCGCUUAACACAUGCAAGUCGAACGGAAAGGCCUGCUUUCCCUUGUGGAUUGCGGGUACUCGCGUGGCGAACGGGUGAGUAACACGUGAGUGAUCUGCCCCCAACUUGGGUAUAAGCCUGGGAAACUGGGUCUAAUUCCCGAUAGGACUGCAGGGUGGUGCCUGUGGUGGAAAACGAUUUUCUAGUGGUUGGGGAUGAGCUCGCGGCCUAUCAGCUUGUUGGUGGGGUAAUGGCCUACCAAGGCGGCGACGGGUAGCCGGCCUGAGAGGGUGGGCGGCCACAGUGGGACUGAGAUACGGCCCAGACUCCUACGGGAGGCAGCAGUGGGGAAUAUUGCACAAUGGGCGGAAGCCUGAUGCAGCGACGCCGCGUGGGGGAUGACGGCCUUCGGGUUGUAAACUCCUUUCGACCGCGAGGAAGCCACCUGGUUGGAAGGGUGGUGACGGUAGUGGUAGAAGAAGCACCGGCUAACUACGUG
rnacentral:rRNA from 1 species